AGGACGAACGCUGGCGGCGUGCUUAACACAUGCAAGUCGAGCGGAAAGGCCCUUCGGGGUACUCGAGCGGCGAACGGGUGAGUAACACGUGAGUAACCUGGCCUCAGCUUUGGGAUAACCCUCGGAAACGGGGGCUAAUACCGGAUAUUUACUUCCUGUCGCAUGGUGGGGGGUGGAAAGUUUUUCGGCUGGGGAUGGGCUCGCGGCCUAUCAGCUUGUUGGUGGGGUGAUGGCCUACCAAGGCGACGACGGGUAG
rnacentral:rRNA from 1 species